GAACUUAAGCAUAUCAAUAAGCGGAGGAAAAGAAACUAACAAGGAUUCCCCUAGUAACGGCGAGUGAAGCGGGAACAGCUCAAAUUUGAAAUCUCAGCGCAAGCUGCGAAUUGUAGUUUAGAGAAACGUUUUCGGGGCCGGCAGCCAGUACAAGUUCUUUGGAACAAGGCAUCACAGAGGGUGAAAAUCCCGUCUUUGACUGGCUGCUUGGUUCCAUGUGAUACGUUUUCCAAGAGUCGGUUUGUUUGGGAAUGCAGACCAAAAUGGGUGGUAAAUACCAUCUAAAGCUAAAUAUUGGCGAGAGACCGAUAGCGAACAAGUACCGUGAGGGAAAGAUGAAAAGAACUUUGAAAAGAGAGUUAAACAGUGCGUGAAAUUGUCAAAAGGGAAACGUUUAAAACCAGUAUUGCGGGCAGAAACUCAGGUUCCAUUUAUGGUGCUGUAUUUUUCUGUCGGCGAGUCAACAUCAGUUUUGCUUGGAGUAAAACGCCAGGGGAAGGUAGCCUUCGGGUGUUAUAGCCUCUGGUAAUGCUCUGGGCGGGACUGAGGACUGCAGCGUUCUUUGGGUCUACCACACCAACGCUUAGGAUGUUGACGAAAUGGUUUUAAGCGACCCGUCUUGAAACACGGACCAAGGAGUCUAACAUAUAUGCGAGUAUUUGGGUGGCAAACCCUUAUGCGUAAUGAAAGUGAAAAGGUGGGAUCCUUUGCUGGUGCACCAUCGACCGCGCCAGAUUAUUGCUAUCUCGGCGUGAGUAUGAGCAUACAUGUUGGGACCCGAAA
rnacentral:rRNA from 1 species